rnacentral:rRNA from 1 species
UACGGAGGGAGGCUAGCGUUGUUUCGGAAUUACUGGGCGUAAAGCGCGCGUAGGCGGCUUUGUAAGUUAGAGGUAGAAAGCCCGGGGCUCAACUCCGGAAUUUGACCUUUAAGACUGCAUCGCUAGAAUUGUGGAGAGGUAAGUGGAAUUCCGAGUGUAGAGGUGAAAUUCGUAGAUAUUCGGAAGAAACACCAGUGGCGAAGGCGACUUACUGGACACAUAGUU